GAUGAACGCUAGCUACAGGCUUAACACAUGCAAGUCGAGGGACCGGCGCACGGGUGAGUAACACGUAUACAACCUGCCCUUUACUCGGGGAUAGUCUUUCGAAAGAAAGAUUAAUACCCGAUGUAAAGGAUGGGGAUGCGUUCCAUUAGGUUGUUGGUGAGGUAACGGCUAACCAAGCCUUCGAUGGAUAGGGGUUGUGGGAGGAAGGUCCCCCACAUUGGAACUGAGACACGGUCCAAACUCCUACGGGAGGCAGCAGUGAGGAAUAUUGGUCAAUGGGCGUUAGCCUGAACCAGCCAAGUAGCGUGAAGGAUGAAGGCUUAUGGGUCGUAAACUUCUUUUAUAGAAGAAUCUGUAUUAUAUGAAUAAGGAUCGGCUAGCUCCGUGCCAGCAGCCGCGGUAAUAC
rnacentral:rRNA from 1 species